rnacentral:tRNA from 1 species
GCUUUCAUAGCUCAGUUGGUUAGAGCAAUCGUUUAGUAAGCGGGAGGUCUUGAGUUCAACUCUCAAUGAAAGCA